rnacentral:rRNA from 1 species
GUGGAUUAGAUACCCUAGUAGUCCACGCCGUAAACGUUGGGCACUAGGUGUGGGUCUCAACCAACGAGAUCCGCGCCGUCGCAAACGCAUUAAGUGCCCCGCCUGGGGAGUACGGUCGCAAGACUAAAACUCAAAGGAAUUGACGGGGGCCCGCACAAGCAGCGGAGCGUGUUGCUUAAUUCGAUGUUACGCGAAGAACCUUACCUGGGUUUGACAUGUAGGGAAAAGCUCUAGAGAUAGGGUGUCCUAACGGGCCCUACACAGGUGGUGCACGGCCGUCGACAACU